CAUGAAGCUGGAUUCGCUAGUAAUCGCGCAUCAGCCACGGCGCGGUGAAUACGUUCCCGGGCCUUGUACACACCGCCCGUCAAGCCAUGGGAGUCGGGAGUGCCUGAAGUGCGUGAGCGCGAGCAGCGCCCUAGGGCAAAACCGAUGACUGGGGCUAAGUCGUAACAAGGUAGC
rnacentral:rRNA from 1 species